rnacentral:tRNA from 2 species
CAGACUAUAGUUUAAUAAAAACAUUAGCUUUGGGAGCUAAAAUUCAGGAAUUCUCCUGUAGUCUGA